AGAUAACAUUGUCGUGCUAGCGGAACCAUAGCCGUUCGGUUAUUGCAGCCCGAGUUUUUCACCGCUGCACCACUGAUGUAACUUUCAUUUCCUGAUUGGUAAGGGGUCAUUAUCAGAACAGUUUGUGUAGAGUCCAGUCUACGGAGCUGAACCGUCUUUUCACAAUCACUGAAACUAAUGAGAUGAUGUUACGAACGCUGUGUCGGACCGGCGGGGCCCUCCUUCAGCAAACCCAGCGGGCCGCGCCCAGGUUGUGGGUUACACCCGCCCAGCAGCGAUGGGCGUCCAGCCUGCCCAUGAACACCGUGGUCCUGUUUGUGCCCCAGCAGGAAGCCUGGGUGGUGGAGAGAAUGGGUCGCUUCCACCGGAUCCUAGAGCCGGGUCUAAACUUCCUCAUACCCAUACUUGACAGAGUGCGCUACGUGCAGAGUCUCAAAGAGAUAGUCAUUGAUGUGCCGGAGCAGUCUGCAGUAUCUCUAGAUAAUGUAACACUACAGAUUGAUGGAGUGCUUUACUUAAGGAUCCUAGACCCUUUUAAGGCCAGUUACGGUGUCGAGGAGCCAGAAUAUGCCGUGACACAGUUGGCGCAGACCACCAUGCGUUCAGAAUUAGGCAAACUCACACUGGACAAAGUGUUCAGGGAAAGGGAGUCCCUCAAUUCCAACAUCGUCCACUCCAUCAACCAAGCUUCGGAUGAGUGGGGGAUCCGUUGCCUCCGUUAUGAAAUCAAAGAUAUACACGUUCCACCUCGUGUCAAAGAGUCCAUGCAGAUGCAGGUGGAGGCGGAGCGUAAGAAGAGAGCCACGGUAUUGGACUCCGAAGGGAUGAGGGAAGCAGCCAUUAAUGUCGCCGAGGGUCAGAAACGAGCUCAGAUUCUGGCCUCGGAGGGUGAAAAAGCAGAGCAGAUCAAUAAAGCGGCUGGUGAGGCCCAAGCAGUUCUGGCCAGAGCAGAGGCAAAAGCUAAGGCUAUCUGUAUGCUGUCAGAUGCUCUGACCCAGCAGAACGGAGAUGCGGCAGCCUCGCUGAGUGUAGCCGAGCAGUAUGUGUCUGCUUUCUCCAAACUCGCCAAAGAGUCCAACACCAUCCUCCUGCCCUCUAAUACUGGGGACAUUAGCGGAAUGAUCACCCAGGCCAUGACCAUUUACAGCACGAUGGCAAAGAAGGGUCCAAAAGUACCAGAAGCGGCGCAGCUGAAGAGUGAAGACCAUGCGAACCAAUCAUCUCAAUAGCAGAGGACUCGGCGAAUGAACUCAAAGCAGUAAAACGUCACAGAAGCAGAAAACAGUUUAUGUUUCAGUUACGGGGGGACUCCAAGGCAUCGCUGUGUGAUGAUCACAUACCCCUCUACUGACCGGACAGGAAAACUAUCACCUUUACAAACAUUUUUCUGUAGGAUUUUUAAUCUUCGCUGUAUAUUUAUGUUCAGAUAUUGUCCGAUUGGAAAGUUAACACCAGCCUUCGGCCAAAUAUACUCACACCAGUGACUUUGGCAGGCUGACAAAAUGGAGAAAUUGGAUGAGGUUUUGGGAUUUAUCAGCUACUGUGGACAGUGGAUGCAGAAGUAAGCCCUGAGUGUUGUGCAGGAUAUGAUUUAUAAGUCAUUUGUGGGCAAUUUCUGUUGUGCAUCAGAUCUGUUGCGUGUGGUUUGUAUUUUUGCAUAAACCUUAUUAGAAUUGGAUGUAACGGUUUUUAAUUUUACCGCUCUACUUCAAAAUGUAAGUGAAACACACAAUUAUUUUUGAAUGUUUUCUCCUUUUGCAGCCUGUUUUUCAGGGCUGGCCAACAUCUGCUUUGUUACGGCUUGUUUACAGACAUCAGCGACAAUUCUUCAACUGUCCUCAGCUUCAUUGGGACCAGCAACUUUGUUGCUACAUGUGACGCCACAAAAUGGUGAAAGAUUCCCCAAAGUGUAGUUAAUUCACAACUUGUUUGAUUGAAACAUCUCCCUGAAAAGCUAAUCCAGUAUUUAUUUAGGAAUAUUUUCUGAUAUUAUUCAUUAUAAACUAUUCCUUCUCGAUAACUAGUUAGUAUACAAAGACGUCCCUCAGAACAAAUGUCCCUGCCAUCUUCAUAUUAGUAUUCACCUCGUAUGUCUUAUUCAAUUUCAUGGUUCUCUGCAAAGACGGCAAGUUUGUCAUGUCAUAGGCUUCACUGGUGUUUACAGGUUUAUAAUAAAUAAUGCAAAAAUUACAUUUGUGUCAUUUGAGACUGGAAGUAAAGAGACUGCAGUAAGUUUAUGACUUGGUGAAAUGAGAAGUUGUAAAGCACUUGUUUGGAAAUAUACAAUUAUGUUGGAUAUGUGUAAAAAAAAAAUGAAUGUGGAACAACUGCAACUCAAUGUAAUGUUUUGGAAAACCUUGACUGUUGAUGAAAAAAAACUCCCAGUAGGAUUUGAAAAAGGAUGUUAAAGUUGAACUCCAUGUUUUGGGUCACUGUUUGCCAUCAAAUAAAAAAAAUAAAUACAUGGGUUCA